UAUGAGUGUCCGGAUCACUUCAUUGGUCUGGCUGUUGGCUUUAAGAUACAGUGUGUUGCUGACUGCUCCAGCACUCAGUUCCGCUGUGGAGACAAUGAGAAGUGCAUUCCCAUCUGGUGGAAGUGUGAUGGUCAGUCAGAUUGUGGGGAUGGCUCUGAUGUCCCUCAGACAUGUUCUUCACGUUACUGCCCAAUUGGACGCUUCCAGUGCCUGGAUGGGAAAUGUACCUACUCGAUUUUCCUGUGUGAUGGCCAUAAUAAUUGUCCAGAUGAAUCUGAUGAAGAUGCUGCACUCUGCAGUGAUCAUUGUUGCUCUGAGAACCAGUUCCAGUGUAAAAAUAAGCACUGUAUCCCAAUUUCCUGGCACUGCGAUGGUGUGCAGGACUGUGCAGAUGGCAGCAAUG
ensembl:lncRNA